UGGCGAUUAAUAUGAGUAUCUAGUGGGCUAUUUUUGGUAAGCAGAACUGGCGCUGUGGGUUGAACCAAACGUCGAGUUAAGGGGCCUAAAUGAAUGCUCAUUCAGAUCCCAUCGAAAGGCGUUGGUUGCUAUAGACAGCAGGACGGUGGCCAUGGAAGUUGGAAUCCGCUAAGGAGUGUGUAACAACUCACCUGCCGAAGCAACUAGCCCUUAAAAUGGUAUGGCGCUGAAGCAUUCUCCCGAUACUCGACCGCCGGGGCACUAGCGGCCACGUCCCAGAGGCGAGGUCUCGAAGCCCCGGUGAGUAAGAGGGUCGCAGUGGUGAGCGCUGAAGGGAUCCGGCGUGAGCCGGCCUGAAGCCGCCACUGGUGCAGAUCUUGGUGGUAGUAGCAAAUACUCGAGAGAGACUCCCUUGAAGACCGAAGUGGAGAAGGGUUCCAUGUGAACAUCAGUUGGACAUGGGUUAGUCGCUCCUAAGCCCAAGGCUAAGGCCUGAUCCCAUGCCAAUGGC
rnacentral:rRNA from 1 species